rnacentral:rRNA from 1 species
AUGAACGCUAGCUACAGGCUUAACACAUGCAAGUCGAGGGGCAGCAUGGUCUUAGCUUGCUAAGGCCGAUGGCGACCGGCGCACGGGUGAGUAACACGUAUCCAACCUGCCGUCUACUCUUGGACAGCCUUCUGAAAGGAAGAUUAAUACAAGAUGGCAUCAUGAGUCCGCAUGUUCACAUGAUUAAAGGUAUUCCGGUAGACGAUGGGGAUGCGUUCCAUUAGAUAGUAGGCGGGGUAACGGCCCACCUAGUCUUCGAUGGAUAGGGGUUCUGAGAGGAAGGUCCCCCACAUUGGAACUGAGACACGGUCCAAACUCCUACGGGAGGCAGCAGUGAGGAAUAUUGGUCAAUGGGCGAGAGCCUGAACCAGCCAAGUAGCGUGAAGGAUGACUGCCCUAUGGGUUGUAAACUUCUUUUAUAAAGGAAUAAAGUCGGGUAUGGAUACCCGUUUGCAUGUACUUUAUGAAUAAGGAUCGGCUAACUCCGUGCCAGCAGCCGCGGUAAUACGGAGGAUCCGAGCGUUAUCCGGAUUUAUUGGGUUUAAAGGGAGCGUAGAUGGAUGUUUAAGUCAGUUGUGAAAGUUUGCGGCUCAACCGUAAAAUUGCAGUUGAUACUGGAUAUCUUGAGUGCAGUUGAGGCAGGCGGAAUUCGUGGUGUAGCGGUGAAAUGCUUAGAUAUCACGAAGAACUCCGAUUGCGAAGGCAGCCUGCUAAGCUGCAACUGACAUUGAGGCUCGAAAGUGUGGGUAGCAAACAGGAUUAGAUACCCUGGUAGUCCACACCGUAAACGAUGAUUACUAGGUGUUGGAGGAUUGACCCCUUCAGUGCCGCAGUUAACACAAUAAGUAAUCCACCUGGGGAGUACGACCGCAAGGUUGAAACUCAAAGGAAUUGACGGGGGCCCGCACAAGCGGAGGAACAUGUGGUUUAAUUCGAUGAUACGCGAGGAACCUUACCCGGGCUUAAAUUGCAGAUGAAUUACGGUGAAAGCCGUAAGCCGCAAGGCAUCUGUGAAGGUGCUGCAUGGUUGUCGUCAGCUCGUGCCGUGAGGUGUCGGCUUAAGUGCCAUAACGAGCGCAACCCUUGUUGUCAGUUACUAACAGGUUCCGCUGAGGACUCUGACAAGACUGCCAUCGUAAGAUGUGAGGAAGGUGGGGAUGACGUCAAAUCAGCACGGCCCUUACGUCCGGGGCUACACACGUGUUACAAUGGGGGGUACAGAAGGCAGCUACACGGCGACGUGAUGCUAAUCCCGAAAGCCUCUCUCAGUUCGGAUUGGAGUCUGCAACCCGACUCCAUGAAGCUGGAUUCGCUAGUAAUCGCGCAUCAGCCACGGCGCGGUGAAUACGUUCCCGGGCCUUGUACACACCGCCCGUCAAGCCAUGGGAGCCGGGGGUACCUGAAGUGCGUAACCGCGAGGAGCGCCCUAGGGUAAAACUGGUGACUGGGGCU